rnacentral:misc_RNA from 4 species
AUACCAGAUUGCUGACAAAGUCCUGGUCCUUGGGCCGGGACUUUGUCAGCAAUC